AACGAACGCUGGCGGCAUGCCUAACACAUGCAAGUCGAACGAGACCUUCGGGUCUAGUGGCGCACGGGUGCGUAACGCGUGGGAACCUGCCCUUAGGUUCGGAAUAACUCCCCGAAAGGGGUGCUAAUACCGGUUAAUGUCUUCGGACCAAAGAUUUAUCGCCUUUGGAUGGGCCCGCGUUGGUUUAGCUAGUUGGUAGGGUAAAAGCCUACCAAGGCGACGAUCCAUAGCUGGUCUGAGAGGAUGAUCAACCACACUGGGACUGAGACACGGCCCAGACUCGUACGGGAGGGAGCAGUGGGGAAUAUUGGACAAUGGGCGAAAGCCUGAUACAGCAAUGCCGGGUGAGUGAUGAAGGCCUUAGGGUUGUAAAGCUGUUUUACACGGGAUGAUAAUGACAGUACCGGGAGAAUAAGCUCCGGCUAACUCCGUG
rnacentral:rRNA from 1 species